rnacentral:rRNA from 1 species
GGGUGAGUAAUGCCUAGGAAUCUGCCUGGUAGUGGGGGAUAACGUCCGGAAACGGGCGCUAAUACCGCAUACGUCCUGAGGGAGAAAGUGGGGGAUCUUCGGACCUCACGCUAUCAGAUGAGCCUAGGUCGGAUUAGCUAGUUGGUGGGGUAAAGGCCUACCAAGGCGACGAUCCGUAACUGGUCUGAGAGGAUGAUCAGUCACACUGGAACUGAGACACGGUCCAGACUCCUACGGGAGGCAGCAGUGGAAUAUUGGACAAUGGGCGAAAGCCUGAUCCAGCCAUGCCGCGUGUGUGAAGAAGGUCUUCGGAUUGUAAAGCACUUUAAGUUGGGAGGAAGGGCAGUAGUUAAUACCUUGCUGUUUUGACGUUACCAACAGAAUAAGCACCGGCUAACUUCGUGCCAGCAGCCGCGGUAAUACGAAGGGUGCAAGCGUUAAUCGGAAUUACUGGGCGUAAAGCGCGCGUAGGUGGUUCAGCAAGUUGGAUGUGAAAUCCCGGGCUCAACCUGGGAACUGCAUCCAAAACUACUGAGCUAGAGUACGGUAGAGGGUGGUGGAAUUUCCUGUGUAGCGGUGAAAUGCGUAGAUAUAGGAAGGAACACCAGUGGCGAAGGCGACCACCUGGACUGAUACUGACACUGAGGUGCGAAAGCGUGGGGAGCAAACAGGAUUAGAUACCCUGGUAGUCCACGCCGUAAACGAUGUCGACUAGCCGUUGGGAUCCUUGAGAUCUUAGUGGCGCAGCUAACGCGAUAAGUCGACCGCCUGGGGGAGUACGGCCGCAAGGUUAAAACUCAAAUGAAUUGACGGGGGCCCGCACAAGCGGUG